CGCCUGUUUAUCAAAAACAUCUCUUCUUGAUUUUGAUUUGAAGUAUGGCCUGCCCACUGAUAUUUUUGAAGGGCCGCGGUAUUUUGACCGUGCAAAGGUAGCAUAAUCAUUAGUUCUUUAAUUGUGAACUGGUAUGAAUGGCUUGACGAGGUGUCAACUGUCUUUAUGUUGGAAUUGUUUAUUGAAUUUGGUUUUUGGGUAAAAAUACCUAAAUUUUAUUAUGGGACGAGAAGACCCUAUAGAGUUUUAUGUGAUUUUCUCUUUUUGGUUUGUUUUUUAGUGGGGGUUAAAUUGCGUUUUGUUGGGGUGAUGGGAGAGUACAAUUAACCUCUCUUUUUAAUAUUUCAUUUAUUUAUGUUUCUGUGAUCCUUUAUUAUUGAUUAUAAGACUAAAUUACCUUAGGGAUAACAGCGUAA
rnacentral:rRNA from 1 species